rnacentral:rRNA from 1 species
GUACACACCGCCCGUCGCUACUACCGAUUGAAUGGCUCGGUGAGGCCUUCGGACUGGCCCAGGAGGGUUGGCAACGACCCCCCAGGGCCGGAAAGUUGGUCAAACCCGGUCAUUUAGAGGAAGUAAAAGUCGUAACAAGGUUUCCGUAGGUGAACCUGCGGAAGGAUCAUUA